rnacentral:rRNA from 1 species
UGUCGACCUCAAAUCAGGUAGGACUACCCGCUGAACUU